rnacentral:rRNA from 1 species
GGAAUAUUGGACAAUGGGCGAAAGCCUGAUCCAGCAAUGCCGCGUGUGUGAAGAAGGCCUGCGGGUUGUAAAGCACUUUCGGUAGGGAAGAAAAGCUCGAGGUUAAUACCCUUCGGGCCCUGACGUUACCUACAGAAGAAGCACCGGCUAACUCCGUGCCAGCAGCCGCGGUAAUACGGAGGGUGCAAGCGUUAAUCGGAAUUACUGGGCGUAAAGCGCGCGUAGGUGGUUUGGUAAGUCGGAUGUGAAAGCCCCGGGCUUAACCUGGGAAUUGCAUUCGAUACUGCCUGACUAGAGUGUGGUAGAGGGAAGUGGAAUUCCUGGUGUAGCGGUGAAAUGCGUAGAUAUCAGGAGGAACAUCAGUGGCGAAGGCGGCUUCCUGGACCAACACUGACACUGAGGUGCGAAAGCGUGGGGAGCAAAC